CGACCGGCGCACGGGUGAGUAACGCGUAUGCGACCUGCCCGUUGCAGGGGGAUAAUCGGGAGAAAUCCCGUCUAAUACCGCGUAACGCCGCGGGGCUGCAUGGCCCUGCGGCCAAAGGGAGCGAUUCCGGCAACGGAUGGGCAUGCGUGACAUUAGCUAGUUGGCGGGGCAACGGCCCACCAAGGCGACGAUGUCUAGGGGUUCUGAGAGGAAGGUCCCCCACACUGGUACUGAGACACGGACCAGACUCCUACGGGAGGCAGCAG
rnacentral:rRNA from 1 species